rnacentral:rRNA from 1 species
GACGAACGCUGGCGGCGUGCCUAAUACAUGCAAGUCGAACGCACGAAGUUGAAGAGCUUGCUCUUUAACCAAGUGAGUGGCGGACGGGUGAGUAACACGUGGGUAACCUGCCCAUUAGAGGGGGAUAACAUUCGGAAACGGAUGCUAAUACCGCAUAGUUUCAGGAAUCGCAUGAUUCUUGAAGGAAAGGUGGCUUCGGCUACCACUAAUGGAUGGACCCGCGGCGUAUUAGCUAGUUGGUGAGGUAAUGGCUCACCAAGGCAAUGAUACGUAGCCGACCUGAGAGGGUGAUCGGCCACACUGGGACUGAGACACGGCCCAGACUCCUACGGGAGGCAGCAGUAGGGAAUCUUCCGCAAUGGACGAAAGUCUGACGGAGCAACGCCGCGUGAGUGAAGAAGGUUUUCGGAUCGUAAAACUCUGUUGUUAAAGAAGAACAAGGAUGAGAGUAACUGCUCAUCCCCUGACGGUAUUUAACCAGAAAGCCACGGCUAACCACGUGCCAGCAGCCGCGGUAAUACGUAGGUGGCAAGCGUUGUCCGGAUUUAUUGGGCGUAAAGCGAGCGCAGGCGGUUCUUUAAGUCUGAUGUGAAAGCCCCCGGCUCAACCGGGGAGGGUCAUUGGAAACUGGAGAACUUGAGUGCAGAAGAGGAGAGUGGAAUUCCACGUGUAGCGGUGAAAUGCGUAGAUAUGUGGAGGAACACCAGUGGCGAAGGCGACUCUCUGGUCUGUAACUGACGCUGAGGCUCGAAAGCGUGGGGAGCAAACAGG